GCAGCACAGAAACUACAUACUUCAGCUCUUUAACUGGAAUUACCGCAUUGUGGUCUGAACACGGUCCACAUUUUAUAAAGACACAUUGAUUCAGACAAUGCAUCAGUCAUCGAGAAGGCUUUAAGAAUGAUGUGGGCCACUGGGCAAACCCAGAAGCUUGCCUGCUGUGAUGAGCUAAGCAAGGGCUGUUUCCUACCAAUGGGCUGAGGGACUUCAUUUACUAACACUUACUGGAAUAGGGACAUCUGGUUUCCCAUCCACCUCCUGUCUGGGGGAGGAGAGACUUGGAUGCACCAAAGAAAAAAGGAGGCCACACUUCCUCUGUCUGGUUAUCCAGCCCAACUGGAAGGUCACUGCAGGAGAUAGGGG